CGAAGCCGAUGGAUAGAAUGCUUCUUGCUCUUGAUCCUCAACUCAAGAGACAAGAUGCCUUGACGAACUGACUCAAGUUCAGCUCCAGAAGAUUGAAGAUCGACGAUUAGACAGGAGAUUUCCUCCUGAAGCUUCGUCUCCCGCUCGGUCGCCAUCUGCAGUUGUUCAAAGGCAACCGCCUUCUCAAUAUUGACGGCCGUCACUUUGUCCAUCCAUGUCC
rnacentral:lncRNA from 1 species